UCAAACGAUCCAACGGCUAACAUUCCAUCUCCCACUUUAAUCCCACCUAAAACCUAAACCCUAAUUCAUUUACCUAAAAUCGGCCACCCCUAAUUUCUCCUUUGCCUCUCUUUUUUCUCAAACCUAUCAAACCCUAUCGGUCUGAAUCCUUGCACAAAUUUGUGCAAGGUCACUUGAAUCAACCACGAAAUCAUCCAUCUUGUCCCUAUAAUCCGCCAAUCCAGCUGGUUAUGUCCAUUUCCACCAAUAAAUUCAUAAAUCCCAAAUCUGAAAACCCUAGACCUAAAGUGAAAUCUCAAAUCGUCUGCAUCUCCGUUAUGAUCUAUCAAAUCCAUGACAUGCAUGGUUAUUUCUUCCACAUCAUCAUCAUUAUUCUUUGUCUAGAGGUCAAACGUAGUGACCUAUGGACUGGUAUUUUGUCAGAUGAUUUCUAAUCUUCAACGGCCAUCCUACAUGCCCAGUUUUGUUGCUGUCUGAGCUCAAGUUUGGAUUUUUAAAUGACUAAACAAAUGGUUUUCGUUUGCUUUGCUACUCCGUAGAAGGUCAGUGUACACUGACCCUCCCUUUCUUUGAUUAUUCGUAUUGUUUGUGCUUACCAUCCAUGUUUCUGUUGAUUACUCUCAUCUAUGAUAUGUGUUAUUAUGUUUGCAAUUGAUUAUCAUGUAUUGAACUUAUGUGUAACUCUCAGUGUUGGAACUAAUGGAUUCCUGAUAAUUUGCGACUAUUCAAUGUUAGCUGGUUAUUCUGUAUUAAUGUAUGAACUUCAUCAAAUAAAUAUUUUUCCUAAAAUGAAUAACUUAAGUCCUCUUGUACUUUCUGCAGUAUCUAAGAGACUGUGAUAAUUUUAUGUGUAUUUUAUAAACUGAACUAUUACAUUAGUUAGUCUAACUCAAGCUGUGCUUUUCCUUGAUGUCUUGUUAAAAGUUAUAUCUGCCACAUAUGUGUUAUACUGUUUCUUGGGCUAGCAAUGCUAUAUAAUUAGAUAACAUACAUCCAAAACUGAUCUCCAUCAUGUUAUUCAUGUUAUACACACUUAACUUGUCUGCUUGGGCUCAUUUAUCUACCACUGAAACCAUGUUUAUUCUAUAUAUUUAUACCCACAUGUUCUUGUGAUUCAAACCUCUGUAAUGAACUCACUAGACUGGUUUUUAAGUCAUCUUCUCAUCUGAUAUACUCUGUAAUCUUGUGGUCUUUUACAAACAUCAUUGUGUACAUGUUUGAGUAUCUUCUGUUAGAUUCUACACUUAUGUGUUUUGUUCAUGGACUUCAUGUUUGCCUUUUCAUUUAAGAGAUAUUCAUGCUUGAGCUAUUAUACUCUUCACUUGAAACUAUACUAUCAUAUGAACCUAAGGGAAAUUUAUUAAUCCAUGUUUGUCCAGUCUAAAGGGUUGUGGUCCUAUACGUGGUUGAUAUUUUUGGUUGUAAAGGUUUAACUGUGUGUUUGAACAUUUUCUAGGAACAUGAUUAACUAGAAACCAUAUUGUGAAGUCUAAGUCAGAUUAAAUUUGACUCUGUGGGAGCACUUCUGUUGUUUAAUUUCAUCUCUCAGGAAUCUGAUUAAGGUUGAUUAUUCUACAUGUGUGAAGGAAUUUUGGAUUGUUCUGAGUACAGUCUAAAUAAUUGUUAGUGCAUUAUGAACUUAAUUAAGGACCUACCACCAUAAUCAGUAAAUUUAGCAUGCAUAUCUCUCUCACCCCCUCCCCAAGGAUCACUUCACCCAGAAUUUUAUUUAAACUUGUAAUAGUCUACUGUUGUUUGCUCCGAAGCUCUCCCUAUUCUGCAACUAUGAUCAGUCUCCUUGAAUGUUCUAAUACAUAUUAUAAAUGAAUGACAAAAUGUCCUUGGACAUUGUUAGUACCUGUAAAACUUAACCUUUACCUUCUGGGCUCUAAUUCUAAUGCUAAUGGUGUAAUUCAAAAGGUGUUCAUGUUUCUGUAUUUUGAUGAUAUCUUUGUGUCUUUUGGACUUCCUGUGUACUUGAACGUUUGUGCCUAUUCCUACUUUCAUGUUGAUUGUUAAGACCUCGUUUGUAUCUAAACCUUUGGGGAAGAGUGAGUGUGAGUGAUUAAGGGUAUUUGGGAUGGGACUUAGUUUAUGAUUAAGGUGUCGAUCCCUAACACAAGUAUUGCUCGGGGUCCUUGAGACCCUUGUGAACUCUGAAGAGCCAGGGAUUCCAAUGGUACCUUAUUCAUGAAUAAGGUCUUGUCUUAAUCUCUUAAUCUUUGACUCUCAUUAAUCCUCCUAGGAUUAAUACAAAUAAAGGUUGAUCUUCACCCAAACAAUGUCUACUUGUUACAUCUUUGUCUUAUUUGGCCACAUGUUCGCUUUACUGUACUCUUAAUCUCAUUUAUAUGUUACAACUUAUUUAUUGGUCCUCAUGUGGCAUCACUAAUGGUUUCUAUACAUCUUUGUAUGCAUGUUCGAAUUUGGGCCGCUGAGUUCUUUAGAAGUCAGUCCCAAGUUCUAGCCCAGGGUCCAUGUUGUUAUAAUCUGUCGCUACUGCAUUUUGAAGUUUGUUGAUCCUGCACUCCCUUUGGCACAAUUUUGAGUCCAGUCCCUUUCCUCUCUCACUCUUAAAAUAAAAACGAACUUGUUAUUUAAUCUUUGUAUAUGUUAUGAUACUAACACUAAUAUUGAAUGUUCCAUUUAUGCCUUAAUCAUUUUUAGGAACCUAGGCAAAACCAAGCUCAUAGAUAAAUAAAAGAGAAUUUGAGUUU